CUUUUCCUAGAAUUUUGACCAAGUAGUAGAAAUGUUUUCCGAAAAUGUUGUCCACGGGGCGGGGGAGCAAAUCUUCAAAUAUUUUUCGACCAAAAUAACCAAGGCUUGCAAUUGUUCAGUCAGUGCAAACAUGAUCAUAACUUUGACAAUCUUUUAUCUUAAACUUUGACCAAAUCUUACCAACUUUGACCUUCAAUUUUAAACAAAUAUUAGUUCCAUUUUGACCAACUUUCACC
rnacentral:lncRNA from 1 species